CCUACGGGAGGCUGCAGUGAGGAAUAUUGGUCAAUGGACGAGAGUCUGAACCAGCCAAGUAGCGUGAAGGAUGACUGCCCUAUGGGUUGUAAACUUCUUUUAUAUGGGAAUAAAACGUUCCACGUGUGGGAUUUUGUAUGUACCAUCUGAAUAAGGAUCGGCUAACUCCGUGCCAGCAGCCGCGGUAAUACGGAGGAUCCGAGCGUUAUCCGGAUUUAUUGGGUUUAAAGGGAGCGUAGGUGGAUUGUUAAGUCAGUUGUGAAAGUUUGCGGCUCAACCGGAGAAUUGCAGUUGAAACUGGCAGUCUUGAGUACAGUAGAGGUGGGCGGAAUUCGUGGUGUAGCGGUGAAAUGCUUAGAUAUCACGAAGAACUCCGAGUGCGAAGGCAGUUCACUGGACUGCAACUGACACUGAGGCUCGAAAGUGUGGGUAUCAAACAGGAUUAGAUACCCUUGUAGUC
rnacentral:rRNA from 1 species